CCUACGGGUGGCAGCAGUGAGGAAUAUUGGUCAAUGGACGAGAGUCUGAACCAGCUAAGUAGCGUGAAGGAUGACUGCCCUAUGGGUUGUAAACUUCUUUUAUAUGGGAAUAAAAUGUUCCACGUGUGGGAUUUUGUAUGUACCAUAUGAAUAAGGAUCGGCUAACUCCGUGCCAGCAGCCGCGGUAAUACGGAGGAUCCGAGCGUUAUCCGGAUUUAUUGGGUUUAAAGGGAGCGUAGGUGGAUUGUUAAGUCAGUUGUGAAAGUUUGCGGCUCAACCGUAAAAUUGCAGUUGAAACUGGCAGUCUUGAGUACAGUAGAGGUGGGCGGAAUUCGUGGUGUAGCGGUGAAAUGCUUAGAUAUCACGAAGAACUCCGAUUGCGAAGGCAGUUCACUGGACUGCAACUGACACUGAGGCUCGAAAGUGUGGGUAUCAAACAGGAUUAGAUACCCUUGUAGUC
rnacentral:rRNA from 1 species